rnacentral:rRNA from 1 species
UGCUUGCACCUUUCAAGCGAGUGGCGAACGGGUGAGUAACACGUGGAUAACCUGCCUCAAGGCUGGGGAUAACAUUUGGAAACAGAUGCUAAUACCGAAUAAAACUUAGUAUCGCAUGAUACAAAGUUGAAAGGCGCUACGGCGUCACCUAGAGAUGGGUCCGCGGUGCAUUAGUUAGUUGGUGGGGUAAAGGCCUACCAAGACAAUGAUGCAUAGCCGAGUUGAGAGACUGAUCGGCCACAUUGGGACUGAGACACGGCCCAAACUCCUACGGGAGGCUGCAGUAGGGAAUCUUCCACAAUGGGCGAAAGCCUGAUGGAGCAACGCCGCGUGUGUGAUGAAGGCUUUAGGGUCGUAAAGCACUGUUGUAUGGGAAGAAAUGCUAGAAUAGGGAAUGAUUCUAGUUCGACGGUACCAUACCAGAAAGGGACGGCUAAAUACGUGCCAGCAGCCGCGGUAAUACGUAUGUCCCGAGCGUUAUCCGGAUUUAUUGGGCGUAAAGCGAGCGCAGACGGUUGAUUAAGUCUGAUGUGAAAGCCCGGAGCUCAACUCCGGAAUGGCAUUGGAAACUGGUUAACUUGAGUGUUGUAGAGGUAAGUGGAACUCCAUGGGGUAA